CACUGGUGAGUUUCACCAAUGUCUCACCACCUAUAUCACUUUGAGAGAAAAACCCAGAAAGUUUAUAUUAUGCAAGCCGCAAAUUAACUAGUAUCAAUGAAAGGCUUUGAAAAUUACAAAGCACUAUGUAAACACGAGGUAUUUGAAUUAGAAGGCUGCUGGCUUUCGUGCUUGGUGGAUUAUGGCGCCUUUGGCCAGGGGAACUCCACAAAGUGAGCAAGCACAGUGCAACUCCCGGGGAGAACUUCACAGUGAUCCAGACGCAAGUGGGGGACACUCCUCUGCAUUUAGAUGGUCUGACUGAUGGCGUUUUGACUUGAUGUCGGUGCGAAAACACUAUGCGUGAUUCAGCAGAAACCACGCUUGCAGCUCCCAGAUAGCAUGCGACAGGCACACUGCGGAACUGGAGGAGAAAAGACAAGAUCACAAGAGAAUGGGAAACCUUCGAUGAAACGCCAGUGGCAUCUGCUUCGUCCUCCAGAUACGCUGUGAAUUCAACAGACAUUUCAAAUUGGAGGUGAACCUAAAGAAUUCUUGGGCUACCCUUGAUAAAGUUUAUAGAAGAAAUGGAAGUUUCUACACUGGGACCUCAAAGGAGGGAGGGGAAAGCCUUGUUAUAUUUCCC